AACGUUUUAUGGGAGACAACCCAUAUUUCCUUUAUUUUAAUUCAAUUUAGCAUUUUUUAAAUCUUUUUUGGUAAGUUUAUUUUAUUAUUUUGGCCAUUCUAUCGCAUUUCAAAUUUUUUUGGACUUCAUUUGGGGAAAAUUAUGGAGUUAUAUGUAGCAGCCACAAUUUGUGCCAAAAGUUGCUGAAAACAGUGUCUAAAUUGUGAAAAGCUGCUGGAUAUUUGUUAGUUUAAAAGAGCCAAUUCUUGGGCAAAUCCGAAGGUUCAGCAGAUGACUUAAAGGCCCAGGUAAGCCUUUCUCCUUCUAACAUUUCAAGCUAUUCCUUAUUACCCCCCUGGUCCAAAAAUAAAAGAACACCCAUGUACUGUCCCCUCUCACGACUCUCCUCCGCAUCAGUUUCGAUCCCCGCCAUUCCUCAACCUCGGCAGUGUUCAGAUAAGGUUUUACCUUCAUCUCCCUCUCUGGCUGGAUUUCUCUCUACUGGCAGAAUUUUUUUUCUUUCGUUUCUACUCCUAUGGUUUGUUUGUGUGGAAUUUAGAUCACAAAUUGUGAGACUCUAGUGGUUUGUUGGGCUAAUAUGUAUCUUUGAUUGAUUGAACUAUAAUUCCCAUUUUUUGGGACGGUAUUCACCCGUCACGUUGUCAUAAAGGACUUGCUCAAGUGAUGCACACAAGCUAUUCGAUGAAUUGUCUGAAAGAUGAUUUUAUUCCCCGGUGAAGUCUGAGUAACAGAGCGCUUUUGGUAGUUGAUUAGUAGUAAGUGUGGGGUGGGGGCGAGCAACACCAAUUGGUUAUGUCACUGCUGAUGUGAAGCCAAGCAACUGUGAGUGUCAUUUGUGCUAGUCAUUGUGUGCUGUGCGAGUUGCUGUAGAAUAAUUCGCAACUACUAAAUGAGUUACCUCAGCAUGCUAGAUGUUCCCGCCUGUGUAAUUUGAACGAUGUGCUUAUGAAUUUUUUUUUUUUUUUUUUUUUUUUGUGUAUCUGUUUUGCCGGUGGAGGGUACUUCUAGUUGGUUAGGCGACGAGGAUAUGGUUAAUUGCUUCUGCUAGAUGGAAUCACUCAGGAUGUGCUUCAGGAAUCUUGUUUAGUUGAAUACUUUUGUGGAGAUGGCUCAUUUGGUCACCAUGGGCACGGGGAUUAUAUUUCAAGAUGUUCUCCUGUACAAGUGUUGCACUUCAAGACUAGGCAUGUCGAGCAAAUUGCUUGUGCUAUGCAACAUUCACUUGUCUUACUAAAAGUUUCGGGUACUUUUGACAUUCAAUGACCUCUAGUAAUCCAAAACAAUUCAUGGAAGAACUGAACAAUGAAGAUACACUAUAGCUAGCUAUUGUCGAGUACAGAGACUCCUUGCCCUUAUGCCAUGACGCCAUCUUUUAAGGGAGCUCCACUACACUUUGUUUUACUUUAUAAUUGCAUCGAGGAAAAUGCAACGUUUUUGUUUGGGGUGGGUUUCUCUGUAUCACUCGGGAUUGGAUUGGUAUAGCUGUGAGGUGUAUAACUGCUUAAGUGUUGUGAUUUUGAUGUGAGACGCCUAUAUUAGUAUGAUAUGCCAGUUUUUGUUUGCCCA